GCGCGGCCGCGGUGGCACAGGGGCUGCUCCUCCCUUGGCGACCCGGCAAGUAGUAGGGGACACGGGGCCGUGGAUCAUUUGACGCUCGUGUUUGCGUUCUUAGGGUUUGCUGAAUGAAGUCUGGUCUCUUGACGAUGUCUUGGCUCGAAGUCCCAAGUUGCGCACACUUGGCGAGGGCGAAGAGGUCUUCGCAUACGUGAGAGUUGGCCCGAGAGUGAAGGAAAAUUGAAAUGGAAGUCCUGCUGAUUGGGAACAUUGGUGCUAGCAGUGUGUGUAUUUGGAUAGAAUCCUCUUACAAUAAAACAAGCUGAGGUCCCAGGGA